GAUGAACGCUGGCGGCGUGCCUAAUACAUGCAAGUCGAGCGAACAGACGAGGAGCUUGCUCCUCUGACGUUAGCGGCGGACGGGUGAGUAACACGUGGAUAACCUACCUAUAAGACUGGGAUAACUUCGGGAAACCGGAGCUAAUACCGGAUAAUAUAUUGAACCGCAUGGUUCAAUAGUGAAAGACGGUUUUGCUGUCACUUAUAGAUGGAUCCGCGCCGCAUUAGCUAGUUGGUAAGGUAACGGCUUACCAAGGCAACGAUGCGUAGCCGACCUGAGAGGGUGAUCGGCCAAACGGGAACUGAGACACGGUCCAGACUCCUACGGGAGGCAGCAGUAGGGAAUCUUCCGCAAUGGGCGAAAGCCUGACGGAGCAACGCCGCGUGAGUGAUGAAGGUCUUCGGAUCGUAAAACUCUGUUAUUAGGGAAGAACAAAUGUGUAAGUAACUAUGCACGUCUUGACGGUACCUAAUCAGAAAGCCACGGCUAACUACGUG
rnacentral:rRNA from 1 species